UUUACUAAAGUAGUAGUGAUACUUUGUGCUGUUUCUACGAGCUCACUACUACAAACAAUAUUAUAGCGCCAGCACUAAAUUUUACUUCGGAAGUCCGGACUUCCGAUCCCGAACUUACUUCCGAACUUUUGACAGUUGUGUUUAAAAAAAAAACAGUGUAUUAUAUGCAACGUUGCCACACAUAAAUUUGUAUCCACCAGAUUAUCUCUACAUACAUUAAGCGGGCCACAGACUACACAACAUUAUGUGAAUUUGAAAACAGAAAAUUUCUUGGCGCACGCUUAAAUAAAACGACUCAAUAUGUUUUCGUCGGAAGUCAGCCAUGAUGCCAGUUCACCAACGACGUUUAUAAAAUUUUUAUCUAAACGCACAAUAUACAUUCCGCCAAUCAUAGCAGUAGUUUCAUUGCCACAGUUCAUUCACAUUCUCAUCCGCCGUCCAAGUAUGCGUUGUUCAAAGCAUACACAUUUUUUGCCAACAAGGAAUGAUAAGUCUGUUCAUUGAUUUUAUACUAUAGCAUCUAUCUACCACACCUGGCAGCCCAGCCCAUCAAAAAGAAAACGUCAAAAAGAGCGAGUCGAGCAUUUUUUUGUUUUGAUUUGGUUAUUUAUUGUUUUGUGCCGAUGCAACUCCGCAGGAAAAGAGAUUAUUUACCGGAUUUACCCGUUUUUUUCUUGUCGGUCGCGUUUCGGAGGACAACAAAGUAUCUGCAGCAGCGGCAAAAAGUAAGGUGCGAAUCAAAAAGUACGUCGGAUACUUUUUCGCAAGCAGCAAAAUCUGUUUUGAUCCUGUUAAAACAAUGGCCUGUACGAGUUCACCAGCUGUCGACCGCUAGUAACAGUUCCGUGGUUGUGGCCUGAGCUGGAGAGCAUCGGGAACAUGCAUCUAUUGGAAUCGGGGCCUGCAUCAAGCGAAAAAAAACUUGAUCUUCCAGAUUCUGCUACGGGAACUUUUCGAGUUUGUACCAUCAGCGAGUUUUAUUCAUUGGCAUGGUUUAGCAACACGUAGACAUUGCGCUUGUUGCACUACCGACCGGGGGAUGACGACCGGAAUCUCGGAACAGCAAAAAAAAAAAUCAUUACCCAGACUACCUAUUACUUUCUGAGGAGCACCAGCAACAUGUUCUGAUGAUCGUCAACCAGGUGAAGCUGACAUUAUCUAAAAUGCAUGGGGGUGAGUUUUCUUUAAAUAUUUUAUUUUUACUCCAGAAAUAUAAUCCCUUCUUUCGAUCACAGGCAGCAGCUACGGUCGGACCAGGUAAUGAUUUUUCCGUUUUUCAAGUACCGCACAUCUACGAGACAUUGGCUGGCACACGUGGGUCAGAACAAUAUCGCUCCGAUUGCAUCGGUUGCUCUGUGAUCCAACAUUGUUUAAAAAACGACUGUAACAACAUGAGCAACAUAUAACACCCCACCUGCUGUAUCUGACGCUUAGCCAUCAUUUGAAAAUGCUGACAAUCGAUCCAUCUUCAUAGUGACGGUAUCACAUAAAGGUUUUAUUUGAACCAAUAUAUCCUGUCUAUUAAACACCGGGAUUAAUUUUGGCUGCUGGAAGUAAAUCGAAGCGAUUGUUUCAGGUGGCAUCAACCAAAAAAGUGUGAUCAGAAGUACCACUAGAUCUUGUAAAUGCGCAAUCUGCGCAUGAUUCCUGUAUGGAACAUUUUACGGAUCAUUGGUUCGAAAAUCAUAACUCUCGAACCAUGAGAUUAAGAAGUUUUCCAUUGAUUCUCGGGAUCGUGCACCGUACAAACGGCACCACACCAGUAGCAAAACUGUUGGCGUAACUACGAAAAACAAGUUGCCAUGCGACUAAACAUAAAACCGAUGACGAGGAAUGACAACUGGUAAUUUCAAAGGAGGAGUCGAGCUGUGGCGUUUUGCUGCUGAAUCCAGCAACUUGUACACCAACAAUGCCAGUCUGCCAACAUUCAGAGAUGUAGGCUGUCUAUUUCACUAUUGACAGUAUUUCAGUUUUUUUUAUUUCGAAAUUAAUAACUACCGAAGCUUAAAACCCCUGAUAAAAUGAGGAAAAAUUAAUAGUCCAUUUCCAAUCGCUUG